rnacentral:lncRNA from 1 species
UGGAAAUUGAGGAGGCCCAGAACAGGCUGCUUGAAAGCUAAAGAAUCCGGGAUGCCAGUAGCAUGGCUCAGUCCAAAUCUAAAGGCCUGAGAACCUCAGGUAGAGGAGGAUUCUGAUGUAAUUCCUGGAGUUCAAAAGCCAAAGACUCUAGAGUUCUGAUAUCCAAGGGAGGAGAAGAAGAAUGUAUGCCAGCUCCUGGAGAUAGAGAGAGACUAAGCCAUUUCCAAGGACUUUUGGAGCUAAAGUCAAGUCACUCCAGGCUGAGUCAGCUGGUCCUUCUGCUCAGCUCCACUCUUGAUCACCUCAACUCCAACAGACAUUGAGGGUCUUCCCAGUUUUUGGGCAUCUUCUUGUAAGGGUUUCCUAGAUGCCAUCAUGUGAGCAGCCAGGUCUUCCCACCAUGCCUUCCUGCCUUGAAGCCGGCCAACUAUCGACUAAAAAUAUGAGCCAAAAUAAAUCUCUCCUUGUUUAAACGUGCAAGCAAAGUAAGUACCUGUGGCCAAAGAAUGGAAAGUCAUGAGUUCCGGGCAAGAAGUCAUCUACCAUAGAUAAGCUCUGUGGUUUAAUUCUCCCUCGUUUCAAAGGCAAGAGAUCGCAACACUGACAGAGGCAGGAAAGCACUGUGGGAAGGGAAGGAGCGUCAGACUCUGGGACGCCCUUUACAGCAACAAAAUCCCUGAAGUCUAGGUAGGCAUGUGGCUGCUGAAAAUAAAAAGUACAUUUCCCAGAAUCCCAUUUGAUUCCAUUCUGGCCAAUCAAUUGGGCAUAAGCCAAAGUUGUGGAAGCAAGUUCCAGGAAGUGUCCUUAAAGAAGAAGGAUAAAAUACUUGAGGCUGAAGAAGGUAUGAUUCACCUCGGUCAUGGAACAAAGGCACAGUGAGACUACAAUCAGAUGUGUUCUGCCUGUUCAGUCAGCCACCUGAAGCUGACCCCCGGAGGUGGAGCGUUAGCAGAUGGUCUCCAAAGGCAUUUUCUGGUAAAAGACAAGCUAUGGUCCUCCACCGCAAGCUUGUUUCCAAGUCUCAGGGAUGUUCUCAGGUCCAUUAAUAAUACUCUCUUUUUUUGGUAAUAAAUUUGUAAAUUAAUACAAUAAAUCAAGUGUCUCUAUAGCUAUCCUUCAUAUGAUAUGAAAACACUAUGGUAUCUGAAAAUAGGCUCUCUCAGACACUAUGGUGAAAACUUUUAUAAGAAAAAGAAUGAAAUAAAAAUGUGACAG